UGGGGUGCGACUCAGUGGCAGAGUGUUUACCUAUCAUGUGUAAUGCCCUAGGUUCAAUCCCCUGCACCUUAA
rnacentral:tRNA from 1 species